CCGAGUUCACUUUCAAAGAUGGCUACGUCGUGCAUCACAUAUAACAAUACAGACCUGUUCCUGAACCCAGAGAGGACCCUGCCGUAUCCUAGUCCUCUCUACCGGCAUGAAGCUGACCCCACAGCAUACUAUGAUGAUGGGGACCUAUCAAUCGCAGUCAACUUUGUUGGUAAGGCAGCUGCCCUGAGGUACCACCCACACCUCUGCCUAUGUGGAAGCAUGAUGUUUUCACCAAGGAGCACACACUAUUCAUAUUAGACAUGAUGAGGCUACACCUGGAGAGGGAGGGAGAGGGUCUCCCAAAGUCACUGACGGACCUCAACAGCCAAUUUAAGCUUGGCCGGAGGAACAAAAAAGACCUGUGGGCAGAUAUGGCACUUAAACUAACUGAACAGUUCAAAGAGACAUUCUGCUCUGACAAGGUGUCCAGGAAGUGGUGCACCUUAGUGCAGGGCUACAAAAAAGUCAAGGACAAUAACACCAGCACAGGGAAGGGCCUCAUGUGCUUCCAGUUCUUUGCAGAAAUGGAUGGUUUGAUUGGGGCCCAACAUGAUGUGGUGUUCCCUGUUGUGGGAACAACAGAGGGGCUGGAUGUCCGAAGACAGGAAGCAGUGGUUCGCAGUGAAACUGCCACUGCCUACACAUCCGCUGCCACCACCUCCCACCAGGGGCGGAUCUACUGGGGUGGCAUAGGGUGGCAAAUGCCACCCUUAAAGAAAGCCUUGCCACCCCUUCUGCCACCCCAGUUGGCAGCAACGAAUUACGGUAAAAGUUAUGGCCAAUUUGACAAUUUACGAGCGUGCGUCUCCAAUGUCCGACGCCAGUGAAUGCAGCAUAAGAUGCCAAAGCGGAGAGAGUCUGUUUUGUUUGGAAAACUGAGUGGCGCAAAGCGAGGGAGCCAGGAGUCGCGAUGAAUGGAGACACAGGGGGAAAGAGGUCAAAACGGAUUAACUAUCUAUCAAGAAAUGAAAUUAUAACGAAAGCACAGUGCUAGCAUAGUUGCGAUGCUGAUUUUGAGAUGAUAAAAAUCAGGUUGAAGAACGUUAUUUCGCCAACUAUAGGCUACAAUGUUACUUAGGGUUUGUUCUGUGUAAAGUAGGCUACAAAAGAUAAUACUGAUUCAACGUCUGUCAAGGAAAACAUUGUUUAUUUGAAUCUUACAGAAAUGAAGAGGAAAGGUAGCAUAUUCAGUUUUUGUCUCCAAAGAGAAAGGCAAGAGAAAUAGAAAAUGAACAAGUGAGCAAGGUAGACAGAGAAGAUGAGGUGGAAGGAGAGAGAAAAGAGGUGGAAGGAGAGAGAGAAGAGGUGGAAGGAGAGAGAAAAUGGCAACAGAAACGUGACAGAGACAGAAUACAAGGCCAAGGCGACCAGGGACAGGAGGAGGUGGAGAACACCACAGCGGUGAAGAUAUGGAGGGAGAGCAUCACCAAGAUGAGGAGGGAGAAAGCGAGAGACAAGAGAACGUGCAGGGCUCAGACAGUGAAAGGGAAAGGAGAGUGCCCGAGCCAUCACCAACGAUCUCCAGUCGAGCUGGUCCACACGGUAUGGAAAUUGUUGAUGCAUAGUAUACUAAGUUAGAUAUGAAUAAGAACAACAAAUGACAAAGCUUAAAUAUGAAUAAUUAGGAAAAGUUGUCAAUGUGAAAGUGUGAUGAGAUGGGGAGAUGAGUUUUUAUAUUUUGUGUAGAAUGUAUUUUAGAUCUAUUGCUCGGAUUAAAUAUAAAAAAUAAAAAAUAUAUAUAAAAAAAACAAAAAAAAAACAAAUUAACCUAAAAAUCACCUCCCAGGCUAAAAUGUUAGUGUGUGUUAACACAGUCUGAUGGUUAUAACUAAUCAAUGACAAUUCCUAAUCUUGUACAAAUACUGCCUGCAUGCCUGCCUCUCUGACAUAGUCGAAUACAGUUUGCUUCCCCUCUCACAUAUCUGCCACUCAUCACCUGUGUCUUAACUUAAUGCCUUUCCUGCCCCUUACUUCUAUCAUACUUCUAUAUCUCCUAUUAAGUGAGAUCACAUUGUACGGUCACUUAUUCCUAAUAU